rnacentral:SRP_RNA from 1 species
UCGCGCUAAGCGGGGAGGCUGCGGUGCCCUGUAUCUGCAAUCCGCAUAGCAGAGUUGAAUUCCUUUGCCCCGGCCCGCGUUUGUGGGGUUGCGCGCAAAAGGGGACGUUGAUAAGUGGGCCUCGUGCGACGGCGCGUUGUGAACCCCGCCAGGGCGGAAGCAGCAACGGUAAGCAAUUAGUGUCGUGCGCCGCGGGAUACCUGCUUUGAGUUUUUCUUUUGCGUUUCCGCCUGGAAGCGUGUGGUCAAAGCGAGGGUGCGCGA